GGCGGGGAAUACGAUGACGAGAAUUACGAAGCCUAUGAAGACGACUACAGCAGUCAGUCGAAGAGCCUUUCAGAGUAUUAUGAAUAUGGACACGGAACAAGUGAUGAAUCCUACAACAACUAUGAGGAAGAAUGGACAAGCACCCGACCCGGUCUCAAAGCUCCGACUUUACGGCUGACAAGAGGGGGCUUCAGAAAACACCCUUAUGGUAGAUACUGAAGGUAAUGAAACACACCGCAGUGUGUUGUCCCAAAGCAGAGGAA